AGCUGAUCUCUGUUGUUGCACUGAGCACUGCUCUGCUCCUGGUCAGUGUCCGCACAGCAAGAACAGAUGAACAUGACAUGUUAGAAAAUGAGUUACGGGACCUUGAGAGAGAACUUGGUGAACUUUCCACUGAUCUUGAUGUUUAUGAGCAGAUAAAUGACAACAAAGAACUGAAGAAGAGAACAAAGCCCGGCAUUCAGAUGGCAAAAAGAGUUGGUAAAGAAGUAAUAAAGCAUGCUGAUGCAAGAAAAGUCUGGGAUGCAGCUGACAAAGUAGCCGAUGAAG